GUGACAUAACACAAUGAGUCUUCAACCUCGUCUAAAGGCUGUGCCUCUUCCUGUUCCUUCUGACCCAGUAUAUGAUAGAAGAAUACGGAAGUUAGUGUUCAGCAAUGUAUAGAAGAAUUUCUGCCUCGUGUAUCAUCCUGUUCCUGCUAGUUUCUGGGUUCAGAAAUGAAGACCUUAACCAGACAGGAUUCUUGGGGAAAUCUGUCACCUUACUAUCUGGAGUGACUGAGCCUGGAACUAUUACCCUAAUUGAAUGGUCAGUCUUCACCAAUGAAACUUACAUUGCAGUAUUUUCUGGAGGUCAGCUAAAAAUCCUCAAUAGCCGUUUGAAGCUCAACAAAGAAACUGGGGAUUUAGAGAUCAUGGACCUGUGCAAGGAAGACAGUCGCACAUAUACAGUCCGCGUAAGGAAUACAGAAGGUGGUCGCUGGGUUAAUACAGUCACUCUCUCUGUACAAGAGGGGCUUCCAGAACCCAAGAUAACUGUAAUCAACAGCACAGAACAGCAUGGCCUGUGUAACAUCUUCCUGACGUGUUCAGUGAGCAGUGACAGGAAGGUCACCAUUACCUGGAGCUCAGAAGCCUUACCUCAUGGCUGCGUAAUCAGACAGCUGCCCUAUGCUGACAAUGAACGGGAGGCAGAAGCAUGGUGCAGUGCCACACAGGACGUGAACAUCACCUGUACUGCCAGUGACAUUGUGAGCACUGCUGCUUCCACAGUGACAACAGGAUGUUCAAGAAAGGAGGACAUUUCAGCUAAGUCCUCCCCCACAAAGGGUUUCACCAUUCUUAUUCUUAUUCUUAUUUUGAUGAUAAUAAUUCUUUGCUUCAUUUUAAUGUACAUAAAACGUGGUAAGUAAAUUCAUCCUAAUACUUAAAACUCAAUUAAUUUAUCAAAGCAAUACAAGGAACUUUUAUAUUUACAAUAGACAUUGUUUUCAGAUAUGCUCCAUUUUAAUUGGAUUUAGUAAAUGAAUACAUAAUUCAUUGUGUUUUUAUGCUAAUAUUCAUAAUUGCAGGUGGCCUCUCUAAAUCACUGGAAAGAUUAAGAGAAUGCGUACCUUUUCUGGCGCAGAGAUCAGAAGGUGAAGAUGAGAAUACAAUCAAGGACAACAACAUGAUACUGCCUGAGGAGGAGUCCAGCAAAAAUGAUACACAACCAAUGGAUGAUACACAACCAAAGGAUGAUACACAACCAAUGGAUGAUACACAACCAAUGGAUGAUACACAACAAAAGGAUGAUACACAACCAAUGGAUGAUACACAACCAAAGGAUGAUACACAACCAAUGGAUGAUACACAACCAAAGGAUGAUACACAACCAAUGGAUGAUACACAACCGAUGGAUGAUACACAACCAAAGGAUGAUACACAACCAAUGGAUGAUACACAACAAAAGGAGGAGCAACGCGACUAAGUCUCCACAGAACCGGAGCUGGCAGGGAGUGUACAGUUCAGUCCCUUUUCAGGAAACCCAGAGGACACGAAUGGGAAUCCCUGAGUGACGUGAACGGGGCUUCCUCGGUGUGGUCCAUGACAAUUACAAUCUUAAAGAUGUAUACAGUAAAAUGGUACUCUUUUACAGAAUUUCAUAAGGCUUUAAAAAUACUGAUUUGUAUUAUUUUUUUAUGCUAUUUCUUCUAUAUUUUAGAUUUUCGUUGCACUAUUUUCCAUCUCAUAAAAAUGCUUUCUCAAAUAUUGAAAUUUGUUUGUGUGACAAGCGGUAGGAAAUUCAAUCAAACAUCGACUGUGUGAAUGUACAUGCUGAAUCUUGGCGUAAUAACUCUUUUGGUUGUUAACAUUCUAAUGAAAUGUGAAAACAUGACGUAUAGCUUUGCUUUGGAAAUAUCAUUACAUUCCAUAAUGAGUAUUUUGCUCUAUCUGGUGCUGAUAGGCUCCAAGCCCUUGGCAACAGGAUAAGUGGUUGAAGAUGGACGGAUACAUUUAUAAAAUGGACCAUAAAUAAACAUCUUGGAAAUGCU